rnacentral:rRNA from 1 species
AUUGAACGCUGGCGGCAGGCUUAACACAUGCAAGUCGAGCGGAGAUGAGGUGCUUGCACCUUAUCUUAGCGGCGGACGGGUGAGUAAUGCUUAGGAAUCUGCCUAUUAGUGGGGGACAACAUUCCGAAAGGAAUGCUAAUACCGCAUACGCCCUACGGGGGAAAGCAGGGGAUCUUCGGACCUUGCGCUAAUAGAUGAGCCUAAGUCGGGUUAGCUAGUUGGUGGGGUAAAGGCCUACCAAGGCGACGAUCUGUAGCGGGUCUGAGAGGAUGACCCGCCACACUGGGACUGAGACACGGCCCAGACUCCUACGGGAGGCAGCAGUGGGGAAUAUUGGACAAUGGGCGGAAGCCUGAUCCAGCCAUGCCGCGUGUGUGAAGAAGGCCUUUUGGUUGUAAAGCACUUUAAGCGAGGAGGAGGCUACCUGGAUUAAUACUCUAGGAUAGUGGACGUUACUCGCAGAAUAAGCACCGGCUAACUCUGUGCCAGCCGCCGCGGUAAAAC